UACGUAGGGGGCAAGCGUUGUCCGGAUUUACUGGGCGUAAAGAGCGUGUAGGCGGCCACGCAGGUCCGUUGUGAAAACUGGAGGCUCAACCUUCAGACGUCGACGGAAACCGUGUGGCUAGAGUCCGGAAGAGGAGAGUGGAAUUCCUGGUGUAGCGGUGAAAUGCGCAGAUAUCAGGAGGAACACCGGUGGCGAAGCGGGUCUCUGGCCGUUAGCUGACGCUGAGGACGAAGCGUGGGAGCGAAGCAGG
rnacentral:rRNA from 1 species